rnacentral:rRNA from 1 species
AGGAAUAUGAGCAAUGGGCGCAAGCCUGACUCAGCAACGCCGCGUGGAUGAUGACGGCCUUCGGGUUGUAAAAUCCUUUCUGGGGGAAGAUAAUGACGGUACCCCAGGAAUAAGUUCCGGCUAACUACGUGCCAGCAGCCGCGGUAAAACGUGGGGGACAAGCGUUAUCCGGAUUUACUGGGCGUAAAGCGCAUGUAGGUGGCUUGACAAGUUGGACGUGAAAGCUCCCGGCUUAACUGGGAGAGGUCGUUCAAAACUGGCAGGCUAGAGGUUGGAAGAGGAGAGCGGAAUUCCCGGUGUAGUGGUGGAAUGCGUAGAUAUCGGGAGGAACACCAGUGGCGAAAGCGGCUCUCUGGUUCAAUACUGACACUGAGAUGCGAAAGCGUGGGGAGCGAACGGGAUUAGAUACCCCGGUAGUCCACGCUGUAAACGAUGGAGACUAGGUGUAGGCGGUCAUUAACCCCGUCUGUGCCGAAGCCAACGCGUUAAGUCUCCCGCCUGGGGACUACGGCCGCAAGGUUAA